rnacentral:rRNA from 1 species
AACACGUGGGGAACCUGCCCCAUAGUCUGGGAUACCACUUGGAAACAGGUGCUAAUACCGGAUAAGAAAGCGGAUCGCAUGAUCAGCUUUUAAAAGGCGGCGUAAGCUGUCGCUAUGGGAUGGCCCCGCGGUGCAUUAGCUAGUUGGUAAGGUAAGGGCUUACCAAGGCGAUGAUGCAUAGCCGAGUUGAGAGACUGAUCGGCCACAUUGGGACUGAGACACGGCCCAAACUCCUACGGGAGGCAGCAGAG